AGACAGAGCAGACAAUAACAUGGGUUUGUGUGUGUGGUGGUGGAGGGGUCGAGACAGAACACCGACAAUAACAUGGGUUUGUGUGUGUGGUGGUGGGGUCGAGACAGAACACAGACAAUAACAUGGGUUUGUGUGUGGUGGUGGAGGGGUCGAGACAGAGCAGACAAUAACAUGGGUUUGUGUGUGGUGGUGGGGUCGAGACAGAGCAGACAAUAACAUGGGUUUGUGUGUGGUGGUGGUGGGGUCGAGACAGAACACAGACAAUAACAUGGGUUUGUGUGUGUGGUGGUGGGGUCGAGACAGAGCAGACAAUAACAUGGGUUUGUGUGGUGGUGGUGGGGUCGAGACAGAACACAGACAAUAACAUGGGUUUGUGUGUGGUGGUGGAGGGGUCGAGACAGAACACAGACAAUAACAUGGGUUUGUGUGUGGUGGUGGAGGGGUCGAGACAGAACACAGACAAUAACAUGGGUUUGUGUGUGUGGUGGUGGGGUCGAGACAGAACACAGACAAUAACAUGGGUUUGUGUGUGGUGGUGGUGGGGUCGAGACAGAGCAGUGUGGAUAAUGUUUUCCGUUCCUUCUCUUUUACCGGUACCCAGGGCCAGGCUGGGCAUAGCCCGAGCCGAAGGGGGGCCGGUUGCGGGCAUAGGGGUUGGACGCCCCAG